rnacentral:rRNA from 1 species
GGUCAAGUGAAGAAGCGCAUACGGUGGAUGCCUUGGCAGUCAGAGGCGAUGAAAGACGUGGUAGCCUGCGAAAAGCUUCGGGGAGUCGGCAAACAGACUUUGAUCCGGAGAUGUCUGAAUGGGGGAACCCAGCCAUCAUAAGAUGGUUAUCUUACGCUGAAUACAUAGGCGUAAGAGGCGAACCAGGGGAACUGAAACAUCUAAGUACCCUGAGGAAAAGAAAUCAACCGAGAUUCCCUUAGUAGUGGCGAGCGAACGGGGACUAGCCCUUAAGUGGCUUUGAGAUUAGCGGAACGCUCUGGAAAGUGCGGCCAUAGUGGGUGAUAGCCCUGUACGCGAAAAUCUCUUAGUCAUGAAAUCGAGUAGGACGGAGCACGAGAAACUUUGUCUGAAUAUGGGGGGACCAUCCUCCAAGGCUAAAUACUACUGACUGACCGAUAGUGAACUAGUACCGUGAGGGAAAGGCGAAAAGAACCCCGGAGAGGGGAGUGAAAUAGAUCCUGAAACCGUAUGCGUACAAGCAGUGGGAGCCCACUUUGUUGGGUGACUGCGUACCUUUUGUAUAAUGGGUCAGCGACUUAUUUUCAGUGGCGAGCUUAACCGAAUAGGGGAGGCGUAGCGAAAGCGAGUCUUAAUAGGGCGUCUAGUCGCUGGGAAUAGACCCGAAACCGGGCGAUCUAUCCAUGGGCAGGUUGAAGGUUGGGUAACACUAACUGGAGGACCGAACCGACUACCGUUGAAAAGUUAGCGGAUGACCUGUGGAUCGGAGUGAAAGGCUAAUCAAGCUCGGAGAUAGCUGGUUCUCCUCGAAAGCUAUUUAGGUAGCGCCUCAUGUAUCACUGUAGGGGGUAGAGCACUGUUUCGGCUAGGGGGUCAUCCCGACUUACCAAACCGAUGCAAACUCCGAAUACCUACAAGUGCCGAGCAUGGGAGACACACGGCGGGUGCUAACGUCCGUCGUGAAAAGGGAAACAACCCAGACCGUCAGCUAAGGUCCCAAAGUUAUGGUUAAGUGGGAAACGAUGUGGGAAGGCUUAGACAGCUAGGAGGUUGGCUUAGAAGCAGCCACCCUUUAAAGAAAGCGUAAUAGCUCACUAGUCGAGUCGGCCUGCGCGGAAGAUGUAACGGGGCUCAAACCAUACACCGAAGCUACGGGUAUCACGUAAGUGAUGCGGUAGAGGAGCGUUCUGUAAGCCUGUGAAGGUGAGUUGAGAAGCUUGCUGGAGGUAUCAGAAGUGCGAAUGCUGACAUGAGUAACGACAAUGGGUGUGAAAAACACCCACGCCGAAAGACCAAGGUUUCCUGCGCAACGUUAAUCGACGCAGGGUUAGUCGGUCCCUAAGGCGAGGCUGAAAAGCGUAGUCGAUGGAAAACAGGUUAAUAUUCCUGUACUUCUGGUUAUUGCGAUGGAGGGACGGAGAAGGCUAGGCCAGCUUGGCGUUGGUUGUCCAAGUUUAAGGUGGUAGGCUGAGAUCUUAGGUAAAUCCGGGAUCUUAAGGCCGAGAGCUGAUGACGAGCUAACUUUUAGUUAGCGAAGUGGUUGAUGCCAUGCUUCCAAGAAAAGCUUCUAAGCUUCAGGUAACCAGGAACCGUACCCCAAACCGACACAGGUGGUUGGGUAGAGAAUACCAAGGCGCUUGAGAGAACUCGGGUGAAGGAACUAGGCAAAAUGGCACCGUAACUUCGGGAGAAGGUGCGCCGGUGAGGGUGAAGGACUUGCUCCGUAAGCUCAUGCCGGUCGAAGAUACCAGGCCGCUGCGACUGUUUAUUAAAAACACAGCACUCUGCAAACACGAAAGUGGACGUAUAGGGUGUGACGCCUGCCCGGUGCCGGAAGGUUAAUUGAUGGGGUUAGCUAACGCGAAGCUCUUGAUCGAAGCCCCGGUAAACGGCGGCCGUAACUAUAACGGUCCUAAGGUAGCGAAAUUCCUUGUCGGGUAAGUUCCGACCUGCACGAAUGGCGUAACGAUGGCGGCGCUGUCUCCACCCGAGACUCAGUGAAAUUGAAAUCGCUGUGAAGAUGCAGUGUAUCCGCGGCUAGACGGAAAGACCCCGUGAACCUUUACUAUAGCUUUGCACUGGACUUUGAAUUUGCUUGUGUAGGAUAGGUGGGAGGCUUUGAAGCGUGGACGCCAGUCUGCGUGGAGCCAACCUUGAAAUACCACCCUGGCAACUUUGAGGUUCUAACUCAGGUCCGUUAUCCGGAUCGAGGACAGUGUAUGGUGGGUAGUUUGACUGGGGCGGUCUCCUCCUAAAGAGUAACGGAGGAGUACGAAGGUGCGCUCAGACCGGUCGGAAAUCGGUCGUAGAGUAUAAAGGCAAAAGCGCGCUUGACUGCGAGACAGACACGUCGAGCAGGUACGAAAGUAGGUCUUAGUGAUCCGGUGGUUCUGUAUGGAAGGGCCAUCGCUCAACGGAUAAAAGGUACUCCGGGGAUAACAGGCUGAUACCGCCCAAGAGUUCAUAUCGACGGCGGUGUUUGGCACCUCGAUGUCGGCUCAUCACAUCCUGGGGCUGAAGCCGGUCCCAAGGGUAUGGCUGUUCGCCAUUUAAAGUGGUACGCGAGCUGGGUUUAGAACGUCGUGAGACAGUUCGGUCCCUAUCUGCCGUGGACGUUUGAGAUUUGAGAGGGGCUGCUCCUAGUACGAGAGGACCGGAGUGGACGAACCUCUGGUGUUCCGGUUGUCACGCCAGUGGCAUUGCCGGGUAGCUAUGUUCGGAAUAGAUAACCGCUGAAAGCAUCUAAGCGGGAAACUAGCCUCAAGAUGAGAUCUCACUGGAACCUUGAGUUCCCUGAAGGGCCGUCGAAGACUACGACGUUGAUAGGUUGGGUGUGUAAGCGCUGUGAGGCGUUGAGCUAACCAAUACUAAUUGCCCGUGAGGCUUGACCAU